GUUCUCUCUGGCUCCAGUGUUCAUGUGACUGGCUAUAGGCAGAAUGAAGACAGAAGGCAAUGACGCAGUAAACCAAUGAAACUAAUCUUUGUCACUUCUAGUAUGAGACCAGUGGAGGGCAAAGGGGGGCAGUAUUAGGCCGCCACCCUCUAGACUCUAGUGAGAUUCUGUAUGUGCAAGUGCGGGGUAUCUGUGGUGUCUGGACAGUGUGGGCCGCUACUCUGUGUGUAGGAGGAAGGUUCAGAGGGUAGAUGCGACAUCCAGAGGCUAAGCCUGUCUAGCUCCUGUGCUUCGUGCUCUUCUGCGAGGACUCCGAGGAAGAUGGCAGUUCUCUCCAGGAGGCUAGACAAGGUCAUGUGAUUUGCAUUGGCCAAUGGGAGCCAUGCGCAUCACGCCUCAGAAAGAAAGGGCUAAGAGUCAGUCUACAAUCUGCCGCCUGCCCUUUCCUCCUGGCCUGGCACUGGGAAGAGACUGCUUUAGCAAGUACAUCACAUGUAUGUUGUCUUGAAGAAACAAACCCAACUUUCCUAGCUGGAACAUGAACUACCUCGCCUUGGUUAAUGUGACUGUGAUACUCGGGGGGAUAAAGGAACAAGAAGAAACAGGCCUUUUACAGAUUCCGAGGGCCACUCUACAGCAAAAAGUCAUCUUGGAGAGGCUGCUGGAAGAGUUGCUGCUACCGGUCAACAGAUGCUUUUAAAGGACAGCUUUCCACUGGGUCAGCAAGGAGGGUGUACUCUAUCCCUUGACCUCCCUCCAUCAACUCUUUGGGGGACAGCACCUUCAUGACAUGGGCACCUCUGAAGCAUGACUUCUUUAACUCAACAAACAGCCCGCCCUCUUUGGUCCUCAGUCGUGGCCUGAUACUGCAGGAUGAUCUCCUCAGCAAGACCCCUCGCAUACUAUCAUCUACUUCAGCAAACCUUUACCAGGCGAGACAACUUAUUCCUUGUUCCAGAAAUUCAGAUGUGGAAGAUGACUUGGGGGCCAUAAUGUUCUGCCUGCCAUACUGACCUAAGAUAGUACAAGCAUGGUCCUGAGAAGCAGACUCACGUGAAGAGAUGAGGUAUCAUCCACGCCUGGCAUGUACAUACCACAAUGACUUGGGUUUCUAACAAAUGGAGACCUGAGAUUGGCUGUGGGGGAAGAGGGUGCACUGGCUUGUGGAACAUCAACGGGGCUGGAAGGAAGUGACAGUCACUCUGGGGACUAUGAAAUUGAGAGGCCGCUGCUAAACACCAUGAAUGCUUUGAAGAGAGAAAUAAAAAAAGACAUUCACGGGGCA
rnacentral:lncRNA from 1 species